rnacentral:lncRNA from 15 species
AUGGGUCAGGAGCAAUCACAGGAUCCCCAGGAAAGCCAAUCAGACCCAGAGGAGCCAAGCCAACCUGGCACCAUCAGCAAAAGUCCUCACCCUGGCAGGAGGACCAGCCCACAGUCCCCAGACACAGAAAGAAAAUCCAAGAAAGGGCUGUGGCGGGAUGGUGGUCGCAUUGGAAGCAGAAUGGGAUCACCCCCACAUGGACAAGAAACAUUAGCAAAAACUGUCUGGUAUCAGGAUAAAAACAUAGACCAGAGUGUCAGUGAAGAUUGGAACAGAAAGGAACUGAACUCUCAGUCAGUUUGGUAUGAUGGUGACACAAUGGAUCAGAGAAGACAUCUGCAGCAGGGAAUGAGAGAGCAGAAAGAAUGUGAUCUGAGCUCAUUCCAAGCUUCUGGUCUUAGUUCUCCACAGCUGUUAGAACAGAGUCUUAGUUCUCAUCAACUGUCUGCGGCUCUCAGUCAGCCACAUGCUGCUGGAACACAGCCAGCACUGUCACAUGGGCCUGGUGCACAAAGACGGGAAGUACAAGGAUCACAGCGAGAAAAGGAAGUAGGGCCAGAUUGGAAGGAGGGAGGGCUGGAGGGAGACAGAGAGGAGGUCAAUAACAGAGAGACAACUUACAGCAAAAAGAGUUCAGAAACAGUGGGCAUUGAAGAGGGAGGAAAAGAGAAGGAAGGGAGUGAAGAAAAAGGAGCAAAUGGCAGAAAAAAGAGGAGGAAGAAGAGGGGUAAGAGAGGCGGGACAGAGGCUAAGCUUAGCUCUGGCUCAAGUGUAGAGUCCCAGAGUCAUACAGAGAUACAGACACAAAGAGAAGAAGAAACAAACCUGAAUGCUCUGUCAGAGACAGAAUCAGAAGCCAAGGAUAAAACAGGAAGGGCAGAUGUCCAGUCUCCCGGUGCUUCUGAGCUAAUCCAGAGAGAGGAAGCUGACAAGGAUGCCAUGCAUUUACCCAGCCAGACAGAGAGUCAGAGCAGGGACACUCAUGGAUUUGACUGUGUCGUUACAAACUCGGAUCCUAGUUAUACUACUCCGGACUUCAGUCCAACAGACGAUGGAAGAACAGAUCUGACUGAAGUUACAGCUUCACAGACAUUAGAAAUAAAGGAGGACGCAAGCAUGAAAUUUCAUGGACCUGAUGACUUUAACCUACAUUCUACGGUCAUUGCUUCAGAACUUGGUGAAAUUGACAUCAGGAAGGCAGAUACAGAGGGAAUUACAACUGUGCAACUAAUAAUAAAGGAAGUACACCCUACAGAACUGGAAUUUAAGGGGAUUACCUGUCCAGUCCAACAAACAAUGCAUAAUGUAGAGUCAAAGGCAUUGUCAGAAAAUGAGGAUUUGGCAGUUGCUGGUGAAGUUGUAGCUUCCGGUGACCGGACAGGUUUAGUUGAAUUGAACUGUCCAAAGGAACUUCCUGUCAAACAUUCAGGUUCUACAGAAUUCACACAGGACUUGUUUCUCAUUGAAUUUCCUGAACAAAAUAUACAACAUGAACAAUAUGUGGACUUGGACAAACCAGUACAGCCUGUGGAUCCAAUGGGAAGACCUGAAGGAUUUAUGGAAUCUGUGCAUUCUACAGAAGCUGAGGGUCUUCCAUUUGAAGGUACUGCGGAUGUAUCACCACUUCAGAAAGGGGAAGGAAGGGCUGAGACAACUCAGAGGGAAUAUUUAGAGCAUUGUUCGGCCUCUGAGAUGCUGAGAGAUCAGCAGCACAAGGAGGAAAAGAAAAAUGAGUUGUGGGUUGGUGAAGAGGAAGUGGGUAAGGAAGGAAAUUGGAUGAGUGAAGAAAAUGACAGUAGGGUGACACAUGGCAAGAUGUUAUCUUCCAUAGACAGUGAAAAAGAACAGAACUACAAUGAAGACUUGGUUGCCACAGCGGUAGCAGUUGUAGCGGUAGCAAUAGCUUCAGCCAUCAGCAUAGAAUUGAGACAUCAGUUAGCAGACAAUCAGUCUGAAAGACGAGAGUCUGCUAGCAGAGAAACUGCAUUUUAUCAACCAUUAGCACAGGAUGGCAAAGUACCAACUGAUACAUUAAACCAGCUGGCAGACAAUUUACUUAGCACUGUUCAAUCCACACAACUGUCUGCACAGCUGAUGGACGAGAAUUGUCAACUGUUAGCUGAGACAGAAAAUCAACAUAUAGAGCUUUCACACAUUGAACCUACUGAUCAGUUCGCCUCCAGAGAACAAGUUUAUGUUGAAAUACUAUCAGAGGAGUGUAACACUGAGACAGAGAAGCUACCAGCAGCAUGGCCAAGUAGCAACCAGCAGGCUCACCUUGACCUGUCAGUACUUGCAGAUACACCUAGUUUAACUCAACUCGACAAAGUCUUUACAUUAUGUUCACUACCUAAAGAAGACAGUCUACUGCAAGUUAAUAUGAUACCUUUGCCGGAUGCAAAUGAAAUGAUUACAACCGUGGUAGUCAGCCAAGGUCAUGGGCAGACAAAAAUCCAGCUGCAAGAAGAAAGCCAACCCUCCUGUCCUGUUGUAGACACAGGGCAGCAGCCAGAAGCUUCUGACACAUACUGUCUUGAUUCUGAGGAGAAUCCCAGACCAGCAGUCUGUAGAGACCCCCAAAAUCAGUCUUUCUGUCACAAAGAGAGUGGGAUACAAGAGCAUGAGAAUGAUCCUCAGCUUGAUGGCCAGGUUAAAAAACCACACAAAGAGGAGAGUCCCACUGUUCCAUUUCUUUGCGGGUCAACACUUCCUGUUACCCCCUGUGACUUGACUCCAAUAGCUGAUCCCAGUCCAAAAGAACCGACUGCCCCUGUGAAUGUGGAAACAGGCGAAUACCAGUUAUGCCCAGCCGACAUGAAGCUUGUUCCUGCCAUCCCUCUCGAAGCUUGCACUGCCACAUUACAGGACAAAGGUCAGGAGUCUGUUGCUAUGGAUAAUGAGGAGGGUGUGUUUGAAGGGCUGGAUAAAGACUCAGGCACUCUGGAUACAGUGGAUGGAUGGAAGGAGAUGCAAAAGAAGAUAAAAAGUGAAGGGGGAGCAAGGAAAGAAAGAGACACAGUGGAGGACACAUUCCAGACAGAAGCAGCAGCAGCAAACGAAGAGUGUCAACAGACCUGGAGAGACAGCACACACACUCUGCCGAUCCAGAGGGAGACAGAUGUUUUCUACCCUGCACAGCCCUGCCCUGAACCUAACACAUUAGCAACAUGUACAGAUGUCCAUCCAGACAGAGAGGAGUGUGCGCCCAUUUGUUUGUUGCACAGACACAAAGACAGUCCAAAAGACAAUGCUGAACUGAAUGACAGUGUCUUUAAAAAGCCUGAAGACCCCCCCCCCUGUGUUGGACACAGGGUUUGUGUCUCCUGGUCUUCCACAGAUGAUGCACUGAUACAGGGAGCCCUCAGUCCCAAUGAGGGCACUAUGUCAAUGGGCACACCUGAUGCUGUGAUCUCUCUGAGCACCAGACUGUCCUGGAAGUCAGAAACGGAAGAGCGAGGUAAAGGUAAGGUUCUUUUAUGUUUUCUAACAGAGAAUUGUAAUUAUUUUUCAAAAGAAAUCCAGGAAUUGAUUUACUCAAUUUCAAUAUCGAAACUUAAUGUUUCCCAUUUUGCCUGUGAAAUUGUACAGUAG